UCGAAUGGUAACAGGAAACAGCUUGCUGUUUCGCUGACGAGUGGCGGACGGGUGAGUAAUGUCUGGGAAACUGCCUGAUGGAGGGGGAUAACUACUGGAAACGGUAGCUAAUACCGCAUAACGUCGCAAGACCAAAGAGGGGGACCUUCGGGCCUCUUGCCAUCAGAUGUGCCCAGAUGGGAUUAGCUAGUAGGUGGGGUAACGGCUCACCUAGGCGACGAUCCCUAGCUGGUCUGAGAGGAUGACCAGCCACACUGGAACUGAGACACGGUCCAGACUCCUACGGGAGGCAGCAGUGGGGAAUAUUGCACAAUGGGCGCAAGCCUGAUGCAGCCAUGCCGCGUGUAUGAAGAAGGCCUUCGGGUUGUAAAGUACUUUCAGCGGGGAGGAAGGGAGUAAAGUUAAUACCUUUGCUCAUUGACGUUACCCGCAGAAGAAGCACCGGCUAACUCCGUGCCAGCAGCCGCGGUAAUACGGAGGGUGCAAGCGUUAAUCGGAAUUACUGGGCGUAAAGCGCACGCAGGCGGUUUGUUAAGUCAGAUGUGAAAUCCCCGGGCUCAACCUGGGAACUGCAUCUGAUACUGGCAAGCUUGAGUCUCGUAGAGGGGGGUAGAAUUCCAGGUGUAGCGGUGAAAUGCGUAGAGAUCUGGAGGAAUACCGGUGGCGAAGGCGG
rnacentral:rRNA from 1 species